rnacentral:rRNA from 1 species
AGAACUUAGCAGAGAUGCUUUGGUGCCUUCGGGAACUCUGAGACAGGUGCUGCAUGGCUGUCGUCAGCUCGUGUUGUGAAAUGUUGGGUUAAGUCCCGCAACGAGCGCAACCCUUAUCCUUUGUUGCCAGCGGUCCGGCCGGGAACUCAAAGGAGACUGCCAGUGAUAAACUGGAGGAAGGUGGGGAUGACGUCAAGUCAUCAUGGCCCUUACGAGUAGGGCUACACACGUGCUACAAUGGCGCAUACAAAGAGAAGCGACCUCGCGAGAGCAAGCGGACCUCAUAAAGUGCGUCGUAGUCCGGAUUGGAGUCUGCAACUCGACUCCAUGAAGUCGGAAUCGCUAGUAAUCGUGGAUCAGAAUGCCACGGUGAAUACGUUCCCGGGCCUUGUACACACCGCCCGUCACACCAUAGGAGUGGGUUGCAAAAGAAGUAGGUAGCUUAACCUUCGGGAGGGCGCUUACCACUUUGUGAUUCAUGACUGGGGUGAAGUCGUAACAAGGUAAGCGUAGUGCU